rnacentral:rRNA from 1 species
GACGAACGCUGGCGGCGUGCCUAAUACAUGCCAGUUGAGCGCUGAAGGUUGGUACUUGUACCAACUGGAUGAGCAGCGAACGGGUGAGUAACGCGUGGGGAAUCUGCCUUUGAGCGGGGGACAACAUUUGGAAACGAAUGCUAAUACCGCAUAAAAACUUUAAACACAAGUUUUAAGUUUGAAAGAUGCAAUUGCAUCACUCAAAGAUGAUCCCGCGUUGUAUUAGCUAGUUGGUGAGGUAAAGGCUCACCAAGGCGAUGAUACAUAGCCGACCUGAGAGGGUGAUCGGCCACAUUGGGACUGAGACACGGCCCAAACUCCUACGGGAGGCAGCAGUAGGGAAUCUUCGGCAAUGGACGAAAGUCUGACCGAGCAACGCCGCGUGAGUGAAGAAGGUUUUCGGAUCGUAAAACCCUGUUGGUAGAGAAGAACGUUGGUGAGAGUGGAAAGCUCAUCAAGUGACGGUAACUACCCAGAAAGGGACGGCUAACUACGUG